GAUGAAGAACGCAGCGAAAUGCGAUAAGUAGUGUGAAUUGCCGAAUUCAGUGAAUCAUCGAAUCUUUGAACGCACAUUGCGCCCCUUGGUAUCCCGAGGGGCAUGCCUGUUCGAGCGUCAUUUCACCACUCAAGCCUGGCUUGGUGUUGGGCGACGUCCUCUUUGGGGACGCGCCUCGAAACGCUCGGCGGCGUGGCACCGGCUUUAAGCGUAGCAGAAUCUUUCGCUUUGGAAGUCGGGGCCCCGUCUGCCGGAAGACCUGCUCGCAAGGUUGACCUCGGAUCAGGCAGGGAUACCCGCUGAACUUAAGCAUAUCAAUAAGCGGAGGA
rnacentral:misc_RNA from 1 species